rnacentral:rRNA from 1 species
AGCUCCAAUAGCGUAUAUUAAAGUUGUUGCAGUUAAAAAGCUCGUAGUUGGAUUUGUGGCGGAUUGUGGCGUCCUCUUUUGGUACUGCCCCGAUCAGCCAUCCUUGGGUGGAACCUGUGUGGCAUUAGGUUGUCGUGCAGGGGAUGCCCAUCACUUACUGUGAAAAAAUCAGCGCGUUCAAAGCAGGCUUAUGCCGUUGAAUGUAUUAGCAUGGAAUAAUAAGAUAGGGCCUUGGUACUAUUUUGUUGGUUUGUGCACCGAGGUAAUGAUUAAUAGGGACAGUUGGGGGUAUUCGUAUUCCAUUGUCAGAGGUGAAAUUCUUGGAUUUCUGGAAGACGAACUACUGCGAAAGCAUUUACCAAGGAUGUUUUCA